UCCACUUCGGGCGCUCUCGAACCCCGUCAGACGCUGCACGAGUCGGGUUACGGACAUGAUUGGCUGUUUAUUGAAACCCUUAACCAGGCAUUCGUGGUCAUGUCAGCAUCCGAUGAAAACAACAGUUGUAGUCAACGCAGCACGGUCGUCUUCGAAAUGAUAGAUGGCCAGCUUGUCACUUACCAAGAGCUACACGCAGGACAG